UUUGGGAAGUAGCACGGAUUGCUCAUCCGAUCCGUGCAGCCGCAGGGAGUGUGUCAAGUUACAGAGGCGCCGGAAUCGGCCCCAGCGCUCCUCGGCGGCGGCCGCGACCCACCUCUGCCCAUGGGGCCCUCCGCGCAAGCCCCUGCGCCCGGGGACUGAAACUGGCUGGCCCGGGGGAGCCGAGACGCCCAGCGGCACCGACUGCGCGGCACCAACCCAAGGACUCUGCACGCGCUGGAAGGGACGGCGCGCGGAGAGCCGGCCAGAUGCCCCUAACUUUCCUGGACUUCCACCGUUCUUCGAAAUAACUUUUUUCUCACUUUGUUGUACUCUGAUUUCCGCUGGUCGUGACGUUUGGCUUUCCCCCUCCUACUGCUAAUUUUUCCGGUCCUCUUUUCCCGGAGCAAAGGAAAGGGACGUUUGCCAGCAACACGAGCCCUUUCCCCCAACUCCGCAGUUUGGACCGCGCUUUUUGGCAGCGGCUCUGGCCUUUAUUUAUUCUAUUUAUUUAUUUAUUGGUUCUCAAGACGCAAAGGGAUGGUGGCGGAGCGCGCCCGCAAAGCUGCAGCCGCCGGCGCCCGCGGGCCUGGAGAGCUGGGCGCGCCCGGGACGGUGGUGCAGGCGGAGCACUGCGCGCGGCUGCCGAGCCCCGGGUCCUGCGGGCUGCUGGCGCUGGCCCUGUGCUCGCUGGCGGUCAGCCUGCUCGCCCACUUUCGGACAGCCGAGCUGCAGGCUCGGGUGGUGCGCCUGGAAGCGGAGCGUGGGGAGCAGCAAAUGGAGACGGCUAUUUUGGGACGAGUCAACCAACUGCUGGACGAGAAAUGGCAACUCCACCUUCGGAGGCGCCGGGAGGCCCUGAAGAUGUCUCCAGGAUGCAACUGCCCGCCAGGACCUCCUGGCCCCACUGGAAGACCUGGGCUCCCUGGGGACAAAGGUGCCAUUGGGAUCCCUGGACGUGUGGGAGUGAAGGGUCCACCCGGCGAGAAGGGUGCCCCUGGAGAUGCUGGAAUGUCCAUCGUUGGUCCCCGAGGACCCCCUGGUCAGCCGGGCACUCGGGGCUUUCCUGGAUUUCCGGGUCCCAUUGGGCUGGACGGCAAACCGGGCCAUCCCGGACCAAAAGGGGAGAUGGGCCUGAUGGGUGCCCGAGGACAGCCGGGACCUCAAGGACAAAAAGGAGAAAAGGGCCAGUGUGGCGAGUACCCACACCGGAAGCAACUGAGCAGCACACAAGCAGCUCUGCGCUCCAACCAGAUAAUCAUCCUGAAGCUGCUGCCUCUCCUCAAUUCAGUGCGGCUGGCUCCACCCCCAGUCAUAAAAAGGCGGACUUUCCAGGGUGAGCAGGGCCAGGCUGGCAUCCAAGGGCCACCAGGGCCACCAGGGCCCCCUGGACCAAGUGGACCUCUGGGGCACCCAGGAUUGCCAGGGCCCAUGGGACCACCCGGCUUACCUGGGCCUCCAGGACCGAAGGGAGACCCAGGGAUCCAGGGCUUCCAUGGCCGGAAGGGAGAGCGGGGCAUGCCGGGGAUGCCGGGCAAGCAUGGAGCCAAGGGUGCUCCUGGGAUCACCAUGGCUGGGAUGAAGGGUGAGCCAGGGAUCCCAGGAUCCAAGGGUGAGAAAGGGCCUGCUGGCUCCCCUGGGCUCCGGGGCCUCCUGGGACAGAAGGGAGAGAAGGGCGACGCUGGCAACUCCAUUGGAGGAGGCAGGGGGGAGCCAGGUCCCCCAGGGCUCCCUGGGCCCCCUGGACCUAAGGGAGAAACAGGUGUGGAUGGCCAGGCCGGCCCCCCAGGACAGCAAGGAGACAAGGGGCAGCCAGGAGCAGCUGGAGAACAGGGACCAGCUGGGCCCAAGGGCUCCAAGGGAGAACCCGGGAAAGGAGAAAUGGUGGAUUACAAUGGAAACAUCAAUGAGGCUCUCCAGGAGAUCCGGACACUGGCCUUGAUGGGGCCUCCUGGUCUUCCUGGGCAAAUUGGCCCACCCGGAGCUCCAGGGAGUCCAGGCCAGAAGGGGGAGAUUGGACUACCAGGCCCUCCAGGACACGAUGGGGAAAAGGGACCUCGUGGCAAACCAGGAGACAUGGGACCCCCUGGUCCCCAAGGACCUCCAGGGGAGGAUGGGCCUCCAGGAAUGAAGGGAGAGACUGGAUACCCAGGGAGCCCUGGCGAGAAAGGAGAAACUGGACAAGCAGGCUCACCGGGUCUAGACGGCCCAACUGGGGAGAAAGGAGAACCAGGUGACCAAGGGAGGCCCGGAGCAACAGGAUCGCCUGGCCCCAUCGGGCUCCCAGGAUUUACAGGAGAAAAAGGAGUAGCCGGAGAGAAAGGUGACCCAGGAGUAGAGGUUCCUGGGCCACCAGGGCCAGAGGGGCCUCCUGGACCUCCGGGGCUCCAAGGUCUACCUGGACCAAAGGGGGAAGCAGGACUAGAUGGAGCCAAAGGAGAGAAAGGUGUCCAGGGAGAAAAAGGAGACCGAGGGCCUCUGGGAUUACCCGGAGCUUCAGGUUUGGACGGCAGGCCGGGGCCACCGCUCUCUGCUGCCCGGGCUUCAAGAGCUCCUGCCCCACCUCCCUGCAGGCCAGUGCAGUGCAGCCACCAGGAUGCCAUCCACUCCCUUCCAGCCUGUUCUCCAGGCCUGGGAUGGGGACAAAAGGCCAGGCCAGAGGCUGAAGCCAAGGACAGGUCCACAGGGGGGUGGCAGGGGUACCCCAGGACCAAUUGGCAUUCCAGGCCCCGCAGGACCAAAGGGAGAGAGGGGCAGCAAAGGAGAUCCAGGGAUGAUAGGACCAACGGGAGCAGCUGGGCUUCCUGGUUUGCACGGACCACCUGGGGACAAAGGAAACCGGGGGGAGAGGGGGAAGAAAGGCUCUAGAGGGCCUAAAGGGGAUAAAGGAGACCAAGGAGCACCUGGAUUAGAUGCCCCCUGCCCGUUGGGACAUCGAGGUUUUAAAGGAGAGAAAGGGGAGCCGGGGUUACCAGGGCUGGACGGACUGGAUGCCCCAUGCCCAUUGGGUCAAGAUGGCCUGCCAGUCCAGGGCUGCUGGAACAAGUGAUUCCUCUAACCUUGGAUUGGCCUGUGUGUGUGUUUAUACAUAGAAUAUUUAUUUUUAUACAGUUUUCACUAUUUGAAAAUGCCAGAAGUAUGAUGCAUCUUACAGAUUAUUAAAAGAAAGAGAAAAACUUGCAUAUUUUGUACAGAAAAUAACACCUCUCCCCUUUUGUUUACAAGAUGUUUUGUAUAAGUCUGUCUCUAAUACACUUUCUGUUUGUGAGUACAGUCCUAAUGUUUGCAUGAUAUUUGUGCACAGUUAUUACAUAUAGAAGCUUAAUAAAUUAUUGUGUUCCGGUGCCAAA